rnacentral:rRNA from 1 species
UUAGUAUUAGAUGCCCUGGUAGUCGUCCCCGUAAUAGAUAAGAGUGCUAAGUGUUAGGGGGUUUCCGCGCCUUAGUGUUGGAGCUAACGCAUUAAGCAUUCCGCCUGGGGAGUACGCCCGCAAGGUUGAAACUCAAUGAGAUUGACGGGGGCCCGCACAAGCGGUGGAGCACGUGGUUUAAUUUGAAAGCAACGCGAAGAACCCUUACCAAAUCUUGACAUCCUUUGACCACUCUAGAGAUAGAGUUUCCCCUUCGGGGGACAUAAUGUGUACAGGGGUGCAUGGGUGUCGUCUCUCGUGGCGA